AACGAACGCUGGCGGCAUGCCUAACACAUGCAAGUCGAACGAGACCUUCGGGAGUAGGGUCGCACGGGUGUGUAACGCGAGGGAACCUGCCCUUAGGUUCGGCAUAACUCUCCGAAAGGGGUGCUAAUACGGGAUAAUGUCUUCGGACCCAAGAUUUAUUGCCUUUGGAUGGGCCCGCGUUGGAUUAGCUGGUUGGUAGGGUAAAAGCCUCUCAAGGCGACGAUCCAUAGCUGGGCUGGGAGGAGGGUCAGCCACACUGGGACUGAGACACGGCCCAGACUCCUACGGGAGGCAGCAGUGGGGGAUAUUGGACAACGGGGUGAAGCAUGAUCCAGCUAUGCCGGUUGAGCGAUGUAGGCAUUAGGGUUGUAAAGCUCUUUUACCCGGGAUGAUAAUGACGGUACCGGGUGAAUAAGCCCCGGCUAACUCCGUG
rnacentral:rRNA from 1 species